rnacentral:rRNA from 1 species
GAUGAACGCUGGCGGCGUGCCUAAUACAUGCAAGUCGAGCGAACGGACGAGAAGCUUGCUUCUCUGAUGUUAGCGGCGGACGGGUGAGUAACACGUGGAUAACCUACCUAUAAGACUGGGAUAACUUCGGGAAACCGGAGCUAAUACCGGAUGAUAUUUUGAACCGCAUGGUUCAAAAGUGAAAGACGGUCUUGCUGUCACUUAUAGAUGGAUCCGCGCUGCAUUAGCUAGUUGGUAAGGUAACGGCUUACCAAGGCAACGAGUCAUAGCCGACCUGAGAGGGGGAUCGGCCACACGGGAGCGGGGACACGGUCCAGACUCCUACGGGAGGCAGCAGUAGGGAAUCGUCCGCAAUGGGCGAAAGCCUGACGGAGCAACGCCGCGUGAGUGAUGAAGGUCUUCGGAUCGUAAAACUCUGUUAUUAGGGAAGAACAUAUGUGUAAGUAACUGUGCACAUCUUGACGGUACCUAAUCAGAAAGCCACGGCUAACUACGUG